AUUUCAUCCAAUCUCUAUAUUUAAAUCUGAAAGCUCCUGCCAGCUGAAUUGCAUGUUUUUACAGAAUUAAGCUUAAAACCAGGGAGUGGCGGCGAAUGCGGGGAGGGGGAGGUUGCCAUGGAAACAGCACACAACAUCUCCCAUACGAGUCCGAUUUGUGCACACAUCGGGUUUGGAACAUGUGGGCGUUAGUGGUUCUGGGAGAACCCUGACCAGCCACAGGCGGCCCCGUGCUGGUUACUCAGAUGUUUAAUGUAGCGAUACGUUAGAGGAGCCCAGGGUUCUGCAAGGAGGGAGAGGCAGGGUGCGAAGCGCUGCUGGUGAUGAUCUCCGCCAGGUCGGGUCGAAGAAGGAGCCGGAGGGUCUGAGCCGCAGGGUCUCUGGGACGUCCCACUCAUCCUUCAGAAGAUACCCGCCCAGCUCCUCCUUGACCACGGGACCCCGUGUCCCCGGGAAAUAGUUCACCACGUCACAGCUGCGCACCAUGCGUCCGCCCAUCGCGCUCAUGGUUCCCGCAAGCUGCGCUCCGCACUCGCUGAGAGUCCAACACCCAACGUCCGGCCCUGAGAAAAGCUGAGAGGCCUUCAGUA
rnacentral:lncRNA from 1 species